rnacentral:rRNA from 1 species
GUCGAACAGGCCGCAUAGCCAGUGGCGGAAGGGUGAGUAAGGCGACGGUAACCAACCCCAUGGUUGGGUAUAGCCGCGGGAAACUGCGGGUAAUCCCCAGCGACGUCCGAGCCGGGCAUCCGGCGCGGACCAAAGUCCUGGCGCCGUGGGACGGGCCGUCGUGGUAUUAGGUCGUUGGCGGGGUAAUGGCCCACCAAGCCUCUGAUGCCUACCGGGCGUGCGAGCGCGACCCGGCACACUGGGACUGAGACACUGCCCAGACUCCUACGGGAGGCUGCAGUCGAGAAUCUUCGGCAAUGGGCGCAAGCCUGACCGAGCGACGCCGCGUGGAGGAUGAAGGCCUUCGGGUUGUAAACUCCUGUCGAGGGGGAGGAAGGUCGGGCAACCGGCUUGACCGAUCCCUGGAGGAAGCACGGGCUAAGUUCGUGCCAGCAGCCGCGGUAAGACGAACCGUGCGAACGUUAUUCGGAAUCACUGGGCUUAAAGCGCGUGUAGGCGGAUGGGUACGUCGGUCGCUGAAAUCCCCCGGCUCAACCGGGGAACGGGCGCCGAAACGACCCGUCUCGAGGGACGUAGGGGGACCUGGAACUUCCGGUGGAGCGGUGAAAUGCGUUGAGAUCGGAAGGAACGCCCGUGGCGAAAGCGAGGUCCUGGACGUCUACUGACGCUGAGACGCGAAAGCUAGGGGAGCGAACGGGAUUAGAUACCCCGGUAGUCCUAGCUGUAAACGAUGGGCACUGGGUAGGGGGCUCGCCGAUGGGCUCCCUGCCGAAGGGAAACCGUGAAGUGCCCCGCCUGGGGAGUAUGGUCGCAAGGCUGAAACUCAAAGGAAUUGACGGGGGCUCACACAAGCGGUGGAGCAUGUGGCUCAAUUCGAGGCUACGCGAAGAACCUUAUCCUGGGCUUGACAUGCACGGAUUAGCCGGCGG